rnacentral:lncRNA from 1 species
GUGUGCCCCCUCCACCCCUCUCCAUAAUUUGGGGGAGAAGGGAGAAAGUCUUCUGUCCUGAGGGUCCUUCUUUCCUCUAUUCUUUUAGAUUUCACAAGACUCAAUCAAAGCAAGAGGAAAUACUUGGUCCUUAGAAAUUCUUUGUCGCCAGUUGCAAGGAAAUUAUGGAGAGACGAAAUCAUUGAGAAUGCAGAGUCUUUAAGCUUCCAAAUUUGUCUUUCAGGAGGUGUAGCCUGAUUGUGGCCCAGGGAGUUUGGCUGUUCUGUGUGGUACGCCUCCACUAUGUGGUCUCCAGUGAGCUGCUCAGCAGGUGUAGACCUGGGCAGGGCAAAGUUCUCUGGGCUGUUGACUGUGAGGCCCCUCCCCACCGGUAGAUUUCCAGGCCUCUUCAGUUUUGCAUUCAGCCACAGCAGAAUGAAGUGGGGUGAGGAGGAUUGAACCGGCACCUCAUUUAUUCAUUCAAUGAAGGUUUAUUGAGCCUCUACGAUGUACCAGGUGCUGUGCUAUGUUCUGGGAUGGUAAAGAACAAGAUCCUUGCCUACAAGGUACUCACUGAAUUAGCAGAAGAAAUCAACAUAUCAACAGGUAAUUAUAAUAUAGUGUUU